GCCAACAUGGGUAUAUUUUGUAGUCCUACUUUUUCUUCACAAAUUUUGGUUUGGUCGUUGUUUUUUGGUCUUUUUUUAUGUUACUUCGUUUCCUGUUAGUAAUAAACAACGGCUCUUCUUAGACUUCUAUUAUCUCCUGGACAUUGAUUGUACAGACUAAAGCAAAUAGUGCACACCACGUACACUUCCUCUCCGUCUCUACCACAGACACCUCCUCUCGGUCUAUGAACCACCGCCCUCUCCGUCUCUGAACCACCGCCCUCUGUCUUCCUCUCCGUCUCGGCGAACUCCGUAGCUGGACGUUUAUUCUACUUAUCAUUCCAUCUCUCAAGAACCUCAUCUGCGGUGAAGUGGCUACUAUCAGUGGAGAAAACGUUCUGGGGUCGCACUCAUCUGUUGAAUCUGAUACUUCUGAUGGUAGUAACGGUGAGACAUCGACUCAGUAUCAGGAAGAGGAGCGAGACGUGGAAAUGGAAGAUGAAUUGACUGAAGAACUUUAGAGAGGAGAUGCUUUGUCUGACUAUGACAUUACAUUGACUAAAGAAGGGGAAGCCAUAAAUGAGUAUCUGGCGUUGAUUGCUAUUGUGGAAGACAAAACUGAGAAAGUUUCAUCUUCAGAGUGACCGGUAACAAGUGAUAUAACUUCUACUAAUCUUGGCAAAAAUCAACUUAUCUCUGUAUUACCUGUCAAUUUUAUGAUCAUUACUUCAUGCA